GAGACACCCCUAUGGAGCAGGACUUGCUUCAGUGGGGCUUUGUUGCUAUCCGAGUCUGCCCCUUGAGUGUGUCACU
rnacentral:pre_miRNA from 1 species